rnacentral:rRNA from 1 species
AGAGUUUGAUCAUGGCUCAGGACGAACGCUGGCGGCAUGCCUAAUACAUGCAAGUCGAACGAAAUCCAUUCAGUGGCAACACUGAUGAAGAUUUAGUGGCGAACGGGUGCGUAACACGUGAGCAACCUGCCCCGGAGACCGGGAUAACAGUGGGAAACCGCUGCUAAUACCGGAUGUCCCCACGAUCUCGCAUGGGAUUGUGAGGAAAAGGAUUCCGCUCCGGGAGGGGCUCGCGGCCUAUCAGCUUGUUGGUGGGGUAACGGCCUACCAAGGCGACGACGGGUAGCUGGUCUGAGAGGACGAUCAGCCACACUGGGACUGAGACACGGCCCAGACUCCUACGGGAGGCAGCAGUAGGGAAUCUUGCGCAAUGGGCGAAAGCCUGACGCAGCAAUGCCGCGUGGGGGAUGAAGGCCUUCGGGUUGUAAACUCCUUUUAGUGGGAACGAAAAUGACGGUACCCACAGAAAAAGCCCCGGCUAACUACGUGCCAGCAGCCGCGGUGAUACGUAGGGGGCAAGCGUUGUCCGGAUUCACUGGGCGUAAAGAGCUCGUAGGUGGUUUGGUAAGUCGGGUGUGAAACCUCCAGGCUCAACCUGGAGUCGCCACUCGAUACUGCCAUGGCUAGAGUCCGGUAGGGGACCAUGGAAUUCCUGGUGUAGCGGUGAAAUGCGCAGAUAUCAGGAGGAACACCAGUAGCGAAGGCGGUGGUCUGGGCCGGUACUGACACUGAGGAGCGAAAGCGUGGGGAGCGAACAGGAUUAGAUACCCUAGUAGUCC